AUUGAACGCUGGCGGCAGGCCUAACACAUGCAAGUCGAGCGGAUGAAGGGAGCUUGCUCCUGGAUUCAGCGGCGGACGGGUGAGUAAUGCCUAGGAAUCUGCCUGGUAGUGGGGGAUAACGUCCGGAAACGGGCGCUAAUACCGCAUACGUCCUGAGGGAGAAAGUGGGGGAUCUUCGGACCUCACGCUAUCAGAUGAGCCUAGGUCGGAUUAGCUAGUUGGUGGGGUAAAGGCCUACCAAGGCGACGAUCCGUAACUGGUCUGAGAGGAUGAUCAGUCACACUGGAACUGAGACACGGUCCAGACUCCUACGGGAGGCAGCAGUGGGGAAUAUUGGACAAUGGGCGAAAGCCUGAUCCAGCCAUGCCGCGUGUGUGAAGAAGGUCUUCGGAUUGUAAAGCACUUUAAGUUGGGAGAAAGGGCAGUAAGUUAAUACCUUGCUGUUUUGACGUUACCAACAGAAUAAGCACCGGCUAACUUCGCG
rnacentral:rRNA from 1 species